rnacentral:rRNA from 1 species
UACAGAGGGUGCGAGCGUUGUCCGGAAUCACUGGGCGUAAAGGGCGCGUAGGUGGCGACCCAAGUCGAUGGUGAAAGCUCGCCGCUCAACGGCGAGUCGGCCACCGAUACUGGGUUGCUCGAGCACUGUAGAGGCUAAUGGAAUUCCGGGUGUAGCGGUGGAAUGCGUAGAGAUCCGAAAGAACACCGGUGGCGAAGGCGGUUAGCUGGGGCAGUUGCUGACACUGAGGCGCGACAGCGUGGGGAGCAAACAGGG